rnacentral:rRNA from 1 species
ACGAACGCUGGCGGCGUGCUUAACACAUGCAAGUCGAACGAGGUCCACGGUGUAGCAAUACACUUGAAGACCUAGUGGCGAACGGGUGCGUAACACGUGAGGAACUUGUCCCGGUCUCUGGGAUAACAGUUGGAAACGACUGCUAAUACCGGAUGACGUCGGAGCAUCGCAUGGUGCGCUGACGAACGGGUUACUGGAUCGGGAGAGCCUCGCGGCCUAUCAGCUUGUUGGUGGGGUAACGGCCCACCAAGGCAUCGACGGGUAGCUGGUCUGAGAGGAUGAUCAGCCACACUGGGACUGAGACACGGCCCAGACACCUACGGGAGGCAGCAGUGGGGAAUCUGGCGCAAUGGGCGAAAGCCGGAGGCAGCAACGCCGCGUGCGGGAUGAAGGCCCUAGGGUUGUAAACCGCUUUCAGAAGGAACGAAAAUGACGGUACUUGCAGAAGAAGGGGCGGCCAACUAUGU